rnacentral:rRNA from 1 species
GGACGGUAGCGUUACCAGAAAGGGACGGCUAACGUACGUGCCAGCAGCCGCGGUAAUACGUAGGUCCCGAGCGUUGUCCGGAUUUAUUGGGCGUUAAAGCGAGCGCAGGCGGUUUGAUAAGUCUGAAGUUAAAGGCUGUGGCUCAACCAUAGUUCGCUUUGGAAACUGUCAAACUAGAGUGCAGUAGGGGAGACUGGAAUUCCUGGUGUAGCGGUGGAAUGCGCAGAUAUCAGGAGGAACACCGAUGGCGAAGGCAGGUCUCUGGGCUGUAACUGACGCUGAGGAGCGAAAGCAUGGGGAGCGAACAGGAUUAGAUACCCUGGUAGUCCAUGCCGUAAACGUUGGGCACUAGGUGUGGGGACCAUUCCACGGUUUCCGCGCCGCAGCUAACGCAUUAAGUGCCCCGCCUGGGGAGUACGGCCGCAAGGCUAAAACUCAAAGGAAUUGACGGGGGCCCGCACAAGCGGCGGAGCAUGCGGAUUAAUUCGAUGCAACGCGAAGAACCUUACCAAGGCUUGACAUGUUCUCGAUCGCCGUAGAGAUACG